rnacentral:lncRNA from 1 species
CGCUGUGGCCCAGCGGCGCAGGCGGCUGGAGCGGCGGCCGCGACGCUGGAGGCUUCGUGGAGAAUCACCGCCUGCAGCACCUCGGUCGUCCCACUGCAGUCUGUGCCCCCCGCCCGGCUCACCGGUGCUCCCUGGGACCCGCGUGGCUGCGGCGGCCCGGGAGCCGAUGCGGCUGGGCGGGCACUGGGCCUCAGAAGCCCCCGCCGCCGCCGCAGCGACCACAUCCCCUUCAGGAGUGCGAGGCUUUGCGGCGGCCCCUGUAGCCGCGCCGGUGCCCUCCUGGGGAGGAGACUUUCGGCUCGGGGACGACUCCCCCCGGCCAUGGUGAAGCGACGGCGGCCACAGCCGAGGUGAGUGCGGCGCGACCCUGUCCCGGGCUCGCCAG